rnacentral:misc_RNA from 1 species
UUGAUUCAUUUUCUUGUGAGACUCAGAAUAUGCCGCUAUGGAUUAAACAAGAGUUUGGGUCCUCCGGCGGGCGCCUGGUUCCGGGCCGUGGGCGCCGGGGCGGUCCCGCCGAAGCAACGUUCAGGUAUGUUCACAGGGGUUUGGGAGUUGAUAACUCGGUAAUGAUCCCUCCGCUGGUUCACCAACGGAGA